AAUCAACGCUGGCGGCGUGCCUCAGACAUGCAAGUCGAACGAUUAAAGCUCUCUUCGGAGAGUGUAUAGAGUGGCGCACGGGUGAGUAACACGUAAGUAAUCUACCUUUGAGUGGGGAAUAACAAUCGGAAACGAUUGCUAAUACCGCAUAAUGCAGCGGCAUCGCAAGAUGACAGUUGUUAAAGGAGCAAUCCGCUUAAAGAGGAGCUUGCGGCAGAUUAGCUAGUUGGUAAGGUAAUGGCUUACCGAGGCUACGAUCUGUAACCGGUCUAAGAGGACGGUCGGUCACACUGACACUGAAUAACGGGUCAGACUCCUACGGGAGGCAGCAGUCGGGAAUUUUGGGCAAUGGGCGAAAGCCUGACCCAGCAACGCCGCGUGAAGGAUGACGGCCUGG
rnacentral:rRNA from 1 species